rnacentral:tRNA from 1 species
GUCCCCGUAGCUCAGCUGGAUAGAGCAAAUGCCUUCUAAGCAUUAGGUCGUACGUUCGAAUCGUAUCGGGGACGCCA